CAAUAGCGUAUAUUAAAGUUGUUGCAGUUAAAAAGCUCGUAGUUGGAUUUCGGGGCAGCCUGGCUGGUCCGCCGCAAGGCGAGUACUGGUCAGCCGCCCUUCCUCUCGAAAGCCCCGACCGCUCUUCGUUGCAGUGGUCGGGUAGUUCGGGACGUUUACUUUGAAAAAAUUAGAGUGUUCAAGGCAGGCCUACGCCUGAAUACAUUAGCAUGGAAUAAUGGAAGAGGACCUCGGUCCUAUUUUGUUGGUUUCCAGGGCCGAAGUAAUGAUUAAGAGGGACAGUUGGGGGCAUUCGUAUUUAAUUGUCAGAGGUGAAAUUCUCGGAUUUAUGAAAGACGAACAACUGCGAAAGCAUUUGCCAAGGAUGUUUUCAUUAA
rnacentral:rRNA from 1 species